rnacentral:rRNA from 1 species
UACAGAGGUCCCAAGCGUUGUUCGGAUUCAUUGGGCGUAAAGGGUGCGUAGGCGGCGCGGUAAGUCGGGUGUGAAAUCUCGGGGCUUAACUCCGAAACUGCAUUCGAUACUGCCGUGCUUGAGGACUGGAGAGGAGACUGGAAUUUACGGUGUAGCGGUGAAAUGCGUAGAUAUCGAGAGGAACAUCUGUGGCGAAGGCGGCCGACUGGACGAUGACUGACGCUGAGACGCGAAAGCGUGGGGAGCAAACAGG